rnacentral:rRNA from 1 species
GACGAACGCUGGCGGCGUGCUUAACACAUGCAAGUCGAACGGAAAGGCCCUGCUUUUGUGGGGUGCUCGAGUGGCGAACGGGUGAGUAACACGUGAGUAACCUGCCCUUGACUUUGGGAUAACUUCAGGAAACUGGGGCUAAUACCGGAUAGGAGCUCCUGCUGCAUGGUGGGGGUUGGAAAGUUUCGGCGGUUGGGGAUGGACUCGCGGCUUAUCAUCUUGUUGGUGGGGUAGUGGCUUACCAAGGCUUUGACGGGUAGCCGGCCUGAGAGGGUGACCGGCCACAUUGGGACUGAGAUACGGCCCAGACUCCUACGGGAGGCAGCAGUGGGGAAUAUUGAACAAUGGGCGGAAGCCUGAUGCAGCAACGCCGCGUGCGGGAUGACGGCCUUCGGGUUGUAAACCGCUUUCGCCUGUGACGAAGCGUGAGUGACGGUAAUGGGUAGAGAAGCACCGGCUAACUACGUG